UCGGUGGAAGUUAGAUGCUAUGUCAUUACAUGCCCUAAGGAGAACCAUGUGUCAGGGAGCUGAAAGAUCUCUGUCCAAAAGCCAACAAAGAAUGAAGACUUUCAGUCCAAUGACUCAUGAGGAAUUGAAACAACCCUUGAGUGUGGUUGGAAGAGAAUCCGCCCCUGUUUGAAACUUGAGGUUUUUAAAUGAAGAAGAGCCAUAUUUGAGGAGCCUCAACCAAACAAGGACAUGAUUUGGAUAAUGACACCCUGAAUUUUAGCCUAAGGCCAUGAUGUAGUGAGUUAGAACUCUUAUAAAGGGAGAAGAGAUGGAGACACCAGUCAAUCAGUAAAGCCAAAUAAGAAAGUUCUGCAUGAUAAGCGUUGGAAGUUACUCAGCAACUUUGACUUUGGACAGCAAGAUGUCUACUAAUGGUGAAGGAUGCCUGUGUGUAAUUCUACAGGAGGACUCAGUUAUGUCUUCUCAUAUUGGAAGCAUUUCCUGACAUUUCCCUGCAUAAACCAAUGUCUCAAGGAGUAUUUUCCUGAAUUAAGUGGAAUAAUAAAAGGAGCUACAAUCCAUUCACCAGAAUGAUAUUUGUUAACAAAAAUAGUGCAAUAAACCUUUGAUAGCUCCCCUUUGAUUUCAGAAUAAAGGAAGAACAUUUAGAAUAACAUGCUCUCAAACUAACCCCUGGCCUAAUUGCAGGACUUACCUGUAGACCACUCAUAUUAAUAUGCUACUUCCUUUGAUUCCUUGAUAUGUGCAGGUAUCCUUGUGUGUCUAUACACACACACACACACACACAUAAG